rnacentral:rRNA from 1 species
GUAAGAGAGCUAACGCAGGGAACUGAAACAUCUUAGUACCUGCAGGAAGAGAAAAUAAAUGAAUGAUUCCCCCAGUAGUGGCGAGCGAACGGGGAACAGCCCAAACCGUUGACGUCGCAAGGCGCCAGCGGGGUUGUAGGACCGCGACAUUGUACUGAAAUGGUGAGUGGAAGUAUCUGGAAAGUUACAUCACAGAAGGUGAUAAUCCUGUACACGAAGCCAAAUCAAGCAUAGCGGUAUCCUGAGUAACGCGGGACACGAGGAAUCCUGCGCGAAUCUGCCGGGACCAUCCGGUAAGGCUAAAUACUCCCGUGAGACCGAUAGCGAACGAGUACUGUGAAGGAAAGGUGAAAAGAACCCCGAGCAGGGGAGUGAAAUAGUUCCUGAAACCAUACGCCUACAAGCGGUCGGAGCACAGCAAUGUGUGACGGCGUGCCUUUUGCAUAAUGAUCCUACGAGUUACCGUCACUGGCGAGGUUGAGUGUCACGAGACACGUAGCCGCAGUGAAAGCGAGCCUGAAGAGGGCGCACAGUCAGUGGGGGUAGACGCGAAACCAAGUGAUCUACACUUGGCCAGGAUGAAGUCCCGGUAACACGGGAUGGAGGUCCGCACCAAUAAGCGUUGAAAAGCUUCUGGAUGAGCCGAGUGUAGGAGUGAAAGGCCAAUCAAACUUGGAGAUAGCUCGUACUCCCCGAAAGGCAUUUAGGUGCCGCGUCGGAUGGUCACCGUGAGAGGUAGAGCGACCGAUAGGACAAGAGGGCUUCACCGCCUAUCGAGUCCUGACGAACUCCGAAUGCUCACGGUCUGCAGUCCGGCAGUAAGGGGGCGGGGGCUAAGGUCCGUCCCCGAGAGGAGAAGAAUCCAGACCGCCGUCUAAGGUCCCGGAGUUCUGCCUGAGUUAGUCUAACGAAGUCUGGUCCCUAUGACAGCUAGGAUGUUGGCUUGGAAGCAGCCAUUCAUUCAAAGAGUGCGUAACAGCUCACUAGUCGAGGGUCCGGGCAUGGAUAAUAAUCGGGUAUAAGGCAGACACCGAAGGCGCGGGAUAGCAUUUAAGAAAGUAUCGGUAGGGGAGCAUACUCACAGCGUCGAAUGGUGUACGUAAGUUAUCCUGGAGCGGUGAGUAAAGCAAAUGUAGGAAUAAGUAACGAUAAGGAGGGUUAGAUUCCCUCCCGCUGUAAGACCAAGGUUUCCCGGGCAAUGCCAAUCAGCCCGGGGUCAGUCGGGUCCUAAGUCUAAGCCGAACGGCGAUGGCGAUGGCAGAGACGGUUAAUAUUCCGUCACUGCCGCAUGGGGCGACGUGGAGACGGAGCAGUGAAACCACCGCGGGGCGACGGAAGUCCCCGUUGAAGAGUGUAGGCGUUGAGGAUGGCAGGCAAAUCCACCAUCCGAGCUGAACUUGACAGUACGGAGUCCUCCUCGGAGGAAUCUGAUAGUGUGGGUAAUCAUACUCCCGAGAAAAUCCGCUAAGCUUAACCCAUGCGGCACCCGUACCGCAAACGGACACACGUGGUCGGGUAGAACAUACUAAGGCGUUGAGAGAUUCAUGGUUAAGGAACUAGGCAAAUUGACCCUGUAACUUCGGGAUAAAGGGUCCUCGUGAUGAGCGAGGCGCAGAGAAUAGGUCCAGGCAACUGUUUAACAAAAACACAGGGCUGUGCAAAUUUGAAAGAAGAAGUAUACAGCCUGACACCUGCCCGGUGCCGGAAGGUUAAGAGGAGAGCUCAUCAGCGAUGAGAAGGUUUGAAUUGAAGCCCCGGUAAACGGCGGCCGUAACUAUAACGGUCCUAAGGUAGCGAAAUUCCUUGUCGGGU